rnacentral:rRNA from 1 species
CAGUAGCCGCGGGAAUACGGAGGGAGCUAGCGUUGUUCGGAAUUACUGGGCGUAAAGCGCACGUAGGCGGUUAUUCAAGUCAGAGGUGAAAGCCCGGGGCUCAACCCCGGAACUGCCUUUGAAACUAGAUGACUGGAAUCUUGGAGAGGUCAGUGGAAUUCCGAGUGUAGAGGUGAAAUUCGUAGAUAUUCGGAAGAACACCAGUGGCGAAGGCGACUGACUGGACAAGUAUUGACGCUGAGGUGCGAAAGCGUGGGGAGCAAACAGGAUUAGAUACCCCAGUAGUCCCUGUCUCUUAUAC